UGUGCCUGCAGGUCAGAGGUGUCAGCCGUGGCAGCUGGCCAGCAAGAGGGAGAGGUUGUCCUCUCCCCGGUGAUGCAGAAAACCCCAAGCUCCCUGUGCAGUUUUCCUUGCUCUCAUUGUGACUCAGUCGCACGUGGUGAGUUGCUCAGCACUGAGACACUGACCCACACGGCCACCAGCCAGCAGCCCACGAAGGGCUGGAGCUUCUCAAUGCUUCAGUAAGUGAGGAGCCAGCAUCUUGCAAGACGUUAUCCCCUAGAUUCAGGAGAAGAGUUACACACCAUGGCCUGUGGGAGGAGGACGUUGGUGUCUUGUAUCACCAGCCACCUGGGCUGCAGUUACCCCAGCACAGGGGGGGUGAAAGGCUGGACUACAUGACGGAGAGCAGAGCUCCAGGACUGGCCACAAUCCCAGCACACUCCUGAGGACAAUUCAUACUUGGGGCAGAUGGUCCCUUGGAACUACAGGGGUGUCUCAGGUCUGUUGUCCUAAUCGUGGCCAUGCCGGUAAGCUCAGGAGCCUCGCAGGUCUCUCCCUCCUUGUUGGGACACAUGGAAAAUCAAACAUUUUCUCUGAUCUCACCAUGUGGGAGCAAUCCUGGGGCUGCCAGCAGAGACCAAAGGCAGAGGGGGAGAGAGAGAAAGUGGGAUGCAAAUGGCGAUGCCCCAUGAGCAUCAUAUGUGGCAAAGCACUGGAGGAUUUCCAGCACCUCAGGACCUGACGCUCCUUUUUUCUGCAGGGUGAUGAGUGAGCCCCUAAAGAAGAGGGGGAUGCAGCGAGCCAGCGCCGAUCAGAGCUGGGGGAUCACAAAUCACAGCCCAGGUGCUCCUGCCCUGCCUGCCCGGGCUCCUGCAAACUCAUGGUUGUGGGCGUAGAAAACCCAAGAAACGUGGGAAUAUCUGGGGCCAUCUCCCCACUCCCAGCGCUCGCUCAGACUGUCAGAUAAGCUGCCGUGGGCAGGUAUCUGAGCUCACGCCGUGCCAGGCUCCGGGCCGGCGGAGGGGCAGCCUGCCAGGCAGGUGGUAACGCUGCCAGGCGCUGCAGGGACACUCCUGCCAGCAGAGAGUGGUGUGAACUGCUCAGACACCUGUGGGAAAAGCUGCAUGUGAGGAUGAACCUUUACGUGGGGCAUACGGAGCUCUGUCUUCACUAGGACGGGGCAGCAGCCGAUCGCACCGAGUGUGCUGGAGUUAGAAAUAACUCAUUGAUGAAAGUGUUCGGAAGAUUUUAAUGGUACACUUUGCAAAAGAAGCAAGGAAGGGCAUUGUUCAAAAUACCUUUUAACCUAGAAUUGCCCUGAAAAAGGUCUUAAAACCCCACCUGGUCAAACCAGCUCCUAUCUUCUUCAACUCAGACUAACAAAUCUCACCUGAAGGUGUUCUUUUUUCUAAUUUGUUGGGCACUCACCAAACCCUUAGACCAGAUCUAGCCUUUUAAAAUGUGCCGCUUUUUGUGCAGUGGCCUUCUUCAGUCUUGCACGAAAGAAAAUGCUCCUUCAUCAGAUAGGAAGGCUACUCAGAUGGGUUUAAAUGGAUCAGUUUGCAGCCCUGAGAUCACAGGCUGAACCCAGAAUUGCUAAACACAAAGCAAGGAUCUUGGCAUGAUUGCAAUAACCGAAAUGAUAAAAUUGGCUGAAGCAGAAUGGAACCAUCCCAAUGUGAAAGCACCUGAAAAAACACAAGGGAUUGUGCGAAUGAUCUGUGGAAGGGAUCACAGGCACAUUGAUAAACACAGAUAAAUGUAGUUUUCAUAAUGAACCCAGGAGGCCUGAGCUCUGUAACAGAAGGAUGACACCAACAGAUGCUGUGUGUCUUCCUCCUAUCCCAACACUAUCGAAGUGCAGCAGCCAAAAAAGUCACCCAAAAUGAGGAUGAACAGCCAAAAAGCAGCAGCUCUGCCUGAGUCUCAUGGGGGGUGAAGUGAGCAAGGUUUGCAGGUGAAAGAUCCUGCUCCAAUAACUGUUGAUACCUGUCCAAAACCUGCCUAAAAACUAGUUUAUCACUGCCGGUUGAGAGGAUCCCAGGCAGAGAGGACUUGACGUGGCACCUCUUGUCAUCUGUGUCCUGAAGACCUGGCCAUACCCCUUGUGCAAACACAUCAGGGUGGAGGCAGCUGUGAGGGUGAGAGAGACCAGCCACAAGUGUCAGGGACUGAGCCAGUUUUGUUUAAAAUAGAAAUCCCCUGUCACCGAGGCCUGGUGCUGGGUUUUGUUACAUGCUCAGAGGUAAGUCACUGCUUCUCCUGCAUUAUCGCAUUUCUGCUCCGAUCUCCACCAGCCCAGCUUGAUCACUGCUGUGGUCCUGGUUAGGAGGUCAGUAGUUCAUUGGAGAUAAUUCCUGCUUCAAGGCGGAGUUUCAGUCCCAGGUGGUUCCUGGUACUUGGUACAGGUCUGCUAUUUCCACUCUCCAACAUGGUUUUUAGUCUGUUAUACCUUCCUUUGCUCAUCUUGUCUCUUCUGCCACUGGCAGAGAUAUCUCUGGUCCCUAGCCCAAAGAUACACCUGGGAAUCUCUUUUUAUGAACUUCAUUUAAAUGGCCCUCUAUUUGCUGAAAUGCCUUUUCUCUUUUCCCCAUCACAAGUUUCUCACUUUUUUUCCCGUCCUUUAUUCAAGGAUGCUGUCCUGGUUUUGUUAAAAACAAGUUUCUCUUUCAGUGAAUUUGCCUGUCAGCUAAAGCUUCAUAUUAACUGCAUUUUCCUGGAGAACCAGACACAUGUUUCGGUAAACCUAGCAAUGGAAUGCAAACUUAUUGAUAAAUAUGGAUGGACAUCUCGCGAGAGGGGCGAUGAGAAGCAAGUGACCAAGAAACUGACCAACUGUGUAUAACAUUCCAUUCACGUGAAUACUUCAUAUAAAAGUGGGAGAUCACGAGGAUCUCGUCCCUUUUCCCUUUUUCCUUAUGACCGACAUUAGGAGAGGACCUUGCUAGUCGUCCCUGCAAACUGAGGCCUAGUGAGAGACUGAAUCCAGCUCCGGUUGGCUGCAGAGUCCAGUCCAGGACUUUGGUUGCCGGCUCUGCAGUUGCUGGGACUUUCAAGAUUGGUUUUGUAUAUUUUGUAUUAUUUUCUCUAUUUUAUCAGUAGCAUUAGUAAAACACUGUUAAUUUUUCCAACUCUCUUCUCUCUGUCCUUCUUUCCUCCCAAUCGCCUCUCCUUAGUGGAAAGGGGGGAGAGGGAGGGGCAAAAAGGGGGAAGUGUGGGGGAGAGGGGGUUAACAAUACAUCUGCCAGGGUUUUAUUGUCACCCCGCAAUCUUAACCCUCGACAGAUGCUCAGGUUUUCUGACCUCAGCCUGGAGGAUGGAUGGACCCUUCUACAUCCACCGGUCUUUUCCCACUCCAUGACUGAAAACUGACAAAGAGCAUUAACUGCAGGAUGCCAGGCAGCCAGUGUUCCUGUGCUUUCCUUGGAGUCUGCUUUGGAGAGAUGCUGAGCCUGGGAUGUCUGGAUUGGUUUGUGCUGACCAGUCACUGCGAGGGGACCAGGUGUCAAUAGCCAUGUGCCCAGCCAGCCCGAGGUCACACAGUGGCACAACAUCCAGAGGGUCCACAGGGCAGCAUCCUGGUGGCAAAUAAACCCUGGGCGGGCUGUGAGUGGGAAAAGCAGUGCCCAGACACAGAGGGGGGGACCUCCUCCUCCUCCCUGAGGAGCAAGGAGCCCUACAAGAGGCACCCAGGGGCUUCCCGGGCUGGACUCUUUCUGCACAGUGAAGAAGUCAGAUGAGGUCCCUCAAAUGUGGAUGGCGGUAAAAGAAAAUUUCCAAACACAUUAUUUUACACCAACGGAGAGUAAAAAUGCCAGGAC